UCUAACCUCAUAUAGCCCAUCCC
rnacentral:siRNA from 1 species